AUCCAGCUGAAGAAGCCCACAUAGGACGAAACGCGCGUCCUGGAU
rnacentral:hammerhead_ribozyme from 1 species